rnacentral:rRNA from 1 species
UACGUAGGGUGCAAGCGUUAUCCGGAAUUAUUGGGCGUAAAGGGCGCGUAGGCGGUUCGGCAAGUCUCUAGUGAAAUCUCAGGGCUCAACUCUGAGUCUGCUGGGGAAACUGCCGGGCUUGAGUGUGGGAGAGGAGAGUGGAAUUCCCGGUGUAGCGGUGAAAUGCGCAGAUAUCAGGAGGAACACCUAUUGCGAAGGCAGCUCGCUGGGGACGUAACUGACGC